UACGGGGGGGGCAAGCGUUGUUCGGAAUUACUGGGCGUAAAGGGCUCGUAGGCGGCCAACUAAGUCGGACGUGAAAUCCCUCGGCUUAACCGGGGAACUGCGUCCGAUACUGGAUGGCUUGAGGUUGGGAGAGGGAUGCGGAAUUCCAGGUGUAGCGGUGAAAUGCGUAGAUAUCUGGAGGAACACCGGUGGCGAAGGCGGCAUCCUGGACCAAUUCUGACGCUGAGUGAGCGGAAGCCAGGGGAGCAAACGGG
rnacentral:rRNA from 1 species